GACGAACGCUGGCGGCGUGCCUAAUACAUGCAAGUAGAACGCAGUUGCGAACGGGUGAGUAACGCGUAGGUAACUGCCCCAUAGCGGGGGAUAACUAUUGGGAACGAUAGCUAAUACCGCAACCUGUGAGACGGACCUGCGUUGUAUUAGCUAGUUGGUGAGGUAAAGGCCCACCAAGGCGUCGAUACAUAGCCGGCCUGAGAGGGUGGUCGGCCACACUUGGAAUGAGACACGGGCCAGACUCCUACGGGAGGCAGCAGUAGGGAAUCUUCGGAAAUGGACGGAAGUCUGACCGAGCAACGCCGCGGUAGUGAAGAAGGUUUUUGGAGCGUAAAGCUCUGUUGUUAGAGAAGCGGUAACUACCCAGAAAGGGACGGCUAACUACGUGCCAGCAGCCGCGGUAAUAC
rnacentral:rRNA from 1 species